GACGAACGCUGGCGGCGUGCCUAAUACAUGCAAGUCGAGCGAAUGGAUUAAGAGCUUGCUCUUAUGAAGUUAGCGGCGGACGGGUGAGUAACACGUGGGUAACCUGCCCAUAAGACUGGGAUAACUCCGGGAAACCGGGGCUAAUACCGGAUAACAUUUUGAACCGCAUGGCUCGAAAUUGAAAGGCGGCUUCGGCUGUCACUUAUGGAUGGACCCGCGUCGCAUUAGCUAGUUGGUGAGGUAACGGCUCACCAAGGCAACGAUGCGUAGCCGACCUGAGAGGGGGAGCGGCCACACUGGGACUGAGACACGGCCCAGAAUCCUACGGGAGGCAGCAGUAGGGAAUCUUCCGCAAUGGACGAAAGUCUGACGGAGCAACGCCGCGUGAGUGAUGAAGGCUUUCGGGUCGUAAAACUCUGUUGUUAGGGAAGAACAAGUGCUAGUUGAAUAAGCUGGCACCUUGACGGUACCUAACCAGAAAGCCACGGCUAACUACGUGCCAGCCGCCGCCGUAA
rnacentral:rRNA from 1 species